UUAUUUGAGAGUUUGAUCCUGGCUCAGGAUGAACGCUGGCGGCGUGCCUAACACAUGCAAGUCGAGCGAUUCUCUUCGGAGAAGAGCGGCGGACGGGUGAGUAACGCGUGGGUAACCUGCCCUGUACACACGGAUAACAUACCGAAAGGUAUGCUAAUACGAGAUGAUAUAUAAAAGUUGCAUGACUUUUAUAUCAAAGCUUUUGCGGUACAGGAUGGACCCGCGUCUGAUUAGCUAGUUGGUAAGGUAACGGCUUACCAAGGCGACGAUCAGUAGCCGACCUGAGAGGGUGAUCGGCCACACUGGAACUGAGACACGGUCCAGACUCCUACGGGAGGCAGCAGUGGGGAAUAUUGCACAAUGGGCGAAAGCCUGAUGCAGCAACGCCGCGUGAGCGAUGAA
rnacentral:rRNA from 1 species